rnacentral:rRNA from 1 species
CGCCUACGGGAGGCAGCAGUGGGGAAUAUUGGGCAAUGGGCGCAAGCCUGACCCAGCAAUGCCGCGUGAAGGAAGAAGGCCCUCGGGUUGUAAACUUCUUUUAUCAGGGACGAAGGAUGUGACGGUACCUGAUGAAUAAGCUCCGGCUAACUACGUGCCAGCAGCCGCGGUAAAACGUAGGGUGCAAGCGUUGUCCGGAAUUACUGGGUGUAAAGGGAGCGCAGGCGGAUUGACAAGUUGGGAGUGAAAACUACGGGCUCAACCCGUAACCUGCUUUCAAAACUGUCAGUCUUGAGUGGUGUAGA